UACGGGGGGGGUAAGCGUUGUUCGGAAUUACUGGGCGUAAAGGGCUCGUAGGCGGCCAACUAAGUCAGACGUGAAAUCCCUCAGCUUAACUGGGGAACUGCGUCUGAUACUGGAUGGCUUGGAUCCGGAAGAGGGAUGCGGAAUUCCAGGUGUAGCGGUGAAAUGCGUAGAGAUCCGGAGGAACCCCAGAGGCGAAGGCGGCGCUCUGGCUCGCAACUGACGCUCAGACACGACAGCAUGGGGAGCGAACGGG
rnacentral:rRNA from 1 species